AUUGAACGCUGGCGGCAGGCCUAACACAUGCAAGUCGAACGAGUGGCGGACGGGUGUGUAAUCUCUGGGAAUCUGUCUGAUGGAGGGGGAUAACUACUGGAAACGGUCGCUAAUACCGCAUACCAUCAUAUGUGCCCAGAUGGGAUUAGCUAGUAGGUGGGGUAAUGGCUCACCUAGGCGACGAUCCCUAGCUGGUCUGAGAGGAUGACCAGCCACACUGGAACUGAGACACGGUCCAGACUCCUACGGGAGGCAGCAGUGGGGAAUAUUGCACAAUUGGCGCAAGCCUGAUGCAGCCAUGCCGCGUGUGUGAAGAAGGCCUUCGGGUUGUAAAGCACUUUCAGCGAGGAGGCGUUACUCGCAGAAGAAGCACCGGCUAACUCCGUGCCAGCCGCCGCGGUAAUAC
rnacentral:rRNA from 1 species